AACGGACGCUGGCGGCAGGCUUAACACAUGCAAGUCGAGCGCCCCGCAAGGGGAGCGGCGGACGGGUGAGUAACGCGUGGGAAUCUACCCAUCUCUACGGAAUAACGCAUGGAAACGUGUGCUAAUACCGUAUACGUCCUUCGGGAGAAAGAUUUAUCGGAGAUGGAUGAGCCCGCGUUGGAUUAGCUAGUUGGUGGGGUAAAGCCCUACCAAGGCGACGAUCCAUAGCUGGUCUGAGAGGAUGAUCAGCCACACUGGGACUGAGACACGGCCCAGACUCCUACGGGAGGCAGCAGUGGGGAAUGUUGGACAAUGGGCGCAAGCCUGAUCCAGCCAUGCCGCGUGAGUGAUGAAGGCCCUAGGGUUGUAAAGCUCUUUCACCGGUGAAGAUAAUGACGGUAACCGGAGAAGAAGCCCCGGCUAACUUCGUGCCAGCCGCCGCGGUAAAAC
rnacentral:rRNA from 1 species